UACGAAGGGGGCUAGCGUUGCUCGGAAUCACUGGGCGUAAAGCGCACGUAGGCGGCUUUUUUAAGUCAGGGGUGAAAUCCUGGAGCUCAACUCCAGAACUGCCUUUGAUACUGAGAAGCUUGAGUCCGGGAGAGGUAAGCGGAAUUCCUGGUGUAGCGGUGAAAAUGCGUAGAUAUCAGGAGGAACACCUGCGGUGUAGACGGCUUACUGGACCAUAACUACGUGAGGCACGAAAGCGUGGGUAGCAAACAGG
rnacentral:rRNA from 1 species